AUUGAACGCUGGCGGCAGGCCUAACACAUGCAAGUCGAACGAGUGGCGCACGGGUGUGUAAUGUCUGGGAAACUGCCAUGUGGAGGGGGAUAUCUACUGGAAACGGUAGCUAAUACCGCAUUCCCUGGGAUGUGCCCAGAUGGGUUUAGCUAGUAGGUGGGGGAAGGGCUCACCUAGGCGACGCUCCAUAGGGGGUCAGAGAGGGGGACCAGCCACACUGGAACUGAGACACGGUCCAGACUCCGACGGGAGGCAGCAGUGGGGAAUAUUGCACAAUGGGCGAAAGCCUGAUGGAGCCAUGCCGCGUGGGUGAAGAAGGCCUUCGGGUCGUAAAGCUCUGUCAUCGGGGAAGCGGUACCCGAAGAAAAAGCAACGGCUAACUCCGUGCCAGCAGCCGCGGUAAUUC
rnacentral:rRNA from 1 species